AAUGCAACAAUCAGGUCACAGAAAUCCUGAUACUCAAUCGCGUCGGUAAUCAAAAUUCCAAAAUUUUGAAUUAGGAUAGAGAGAUAGACUGCUGCGACUCUUAGAGAUCCUUGUUUAUCACAUCUUAGUGGGAUAAUAAAGGAACAAAACUUUUCUUUUGGGAGGUGGAAUAUCUUUAAAAGUCAUCGUAAAACGCUUUUCUCGUUAGGCAACGGAGUUCGCCCGAAUAUCAGAAUGAAAACCGGAACAGUUGCGUGCUUUCUUUUCGUCUGCAUGUUUUUCCUUGGGCUGUUGCAGAUGGCACACCAGAGCGGAGCGGUCAAUUCGCGGCACCCACUAACCAAGUUUCAGAUGUUAGACAAUGGUCUUGAGUGGGUUGUCUACAAAUAUGGCGGCACCAUGACCUUUUGUUUCUGUACGGAGGGUGACAUGAUGUUUCCCCUAACCGAUUGUAAGGAUCCCGUACCAUCUUACUGCCGGAACUACAGGCGUAGACCAUAGGCAAGCAUUCAUCCAGUGUCAGGUCACGGUGCAUUUAUACUGCCAUAACUAUAUCGGUGCCCUAGAUAGUCUAGCUUCAGCAUGGAAGGUUGCACGGUGUCCGAAUGAUCUGCAGACUGGAGGAGGACCUUCAGCAAACUUUUUACCAGAAUUGUAGAAGCACCUAACAUUAUUUGACAUAAAAGUUUUUGAGCUUUUGAAAGUACAUUAAAGUUGUUUUUGUGCUAACACAUGCAACUCGUAAAGGUUUACGGUAUAUGAAAACCCCAAUGGUUGUUGAGAUCCUGAAAAACCAUGGAAUAUGAGUCUUUCGUUUCGCUGAAAAAAAUCUCUGGGGUACACAUUUGUGUUAGCGAAAAACCACUAAAGAUUUUUCAAAAGCUCAUAAACCUUUAUUUGUAUCUCUUCGAACGAUGCCUUUGAUUCCUACGGAAGUGUAUACCGCUGAGCCAGCCGUUGCCUACGUAGCAAUCAUAUUACGCACAGGCUGGUUACCGUGAGCACCCGCUGAACAGUUGUUACCAUUGUAAACCCAAAGUUGCGCACCAUUGAGGAGCCAGUGUGCAUUACAAACGACGAGGUACUGUAGGUCAUUUCAAUCUGCCCAGGAGCGGAGUUCAUAUUAUGAAUCGACUGUUUAGGCGAAUCAAUAUCUCAAUAAACAUAAAUUCGGGAAAAGUAUCAAACUAGCGUGUAGUUGGUACUAGAAAUGUUGGGGGUCUUCUUGCCUAUUGAGGGUUUUUUAAACAGUAGUAGAACCUACUGGAUUCCUGAUAUUCUUUGACAGGGGAGAGCAUGGUGAUUGAGUUCUUUUAUGAUAACUUCGGCUGCAAAAGAUAUGCAAAAAAACAACAUUAUGCACGUGCCAAUGUUAAAAAACAAGAUGAACUUCUUUAUUGUUAAGAUGUUAUUUAGUUUCUAAAACAUACACCCAACUUGUUUGCUUCUCAUGUAUUGCUUAGUGGUUGUAUGAAAUUAAGAAUCGGGGUGAAACGUAACCUCUCAAAUACCCACCAUUCGAAUUUCUGGCCCAGUCAUAAUUUGAAUAACAUCAGGAGAUUGGUUAGUUAUACCUUGCUUUGAUUAAAGUUUUUUUUCACCAUAACCAGCUCGUGUUAUCCAUCGAUCAUCUCAAAUGCAUACGAACCCAACUUUUACGAAUUCAUCGAUUAAUACCUCUUGCCAAUCGAGUAAUUGCACAGUGAGACGCAAAUGCCAGAGACGGAAUUAAAAGGAUAUGUUUGAAUAUCCCCCACAGGCCAAAACCGAUCACUUACUCCAUUAAAGCUGAAUUAGGUCCAUUAAAAAAUUCCAAAUAGCGACAGAGCUAAAGCGAGAGCGCCCUGAAGACCGUCUGAAACAUGAUAUAUCGGUGAUUGAACUAACCCGCUUGAUCCACACACCAAGAACCCCCCGAACGAGGAGGUUUCAGGAAUUGGUCAAGUGGAGUUUCAAUUUCCGACGGAUUUCCGACGGCCCUUCUCAGGCGACCAUAUCAAUGUUACGGUCCUUAUACGAGUGUAAUGGAAAAAAUAUCUCGUGUAGCAGUUCGCCUUUGAUAUUUAGUAUGAGGUUUGUAACGAAGAUUACCAAACUUAUAUGGACAUUGCUUAUAAAUUCCUGAUAUUUUACUAUAGCACGUUGCGAUAUGAAGUCAAUAUUUCGAGCAUCGGGGCGAUGCUUAAAGGCACGCAGCGUACUACAAGACCACCAAUGCCAUUUGUGAUGAAGACAUAUACUUUAAGCCAAUCGUAUAGUUUAUGUAUCAUUUAUUCAGAUGUGAAAAUUUCAUGACUACGGCUUCAGAAGAAGGAGUUUGAAUCCACUGAGAAAGACAUUCUUUAUGUAAAAAUCUACUGAGGAAUUUUGCGCUGUGACGGACGGAGUGUCGCAGCGUCGAAAGCUGGUGUAACGUAGCAAAGGCAACUCCCUUUCUGAAGGCUGUUGUUGCAUAUACAAGGAGUGUUGCAUGGCGUGAUGUUGCUCAUUAAAAACAUAAGAAUCAAUAGUCGAGUCUCAGGUCAUGUAGUUUUACUCGCUUUUUGGAAGGCGUUACCCCGGUCGUCGGAGCAUACCUAUAAUUUGACUCCAAGCUUUGCUUCUCGAAGGCAGUUCAACUUUAACUUGGCGUUGACGUGACUAUUGACUGAUUGGCCACAGUAAUUAUGGGAACAUUAGCUUAUAGAGUGGUGGCAGAUCAAUCGAAUCGUUAAACGUGAUCUAGUGGUGGAUGAAAUCAAUAAUUCCUCCAGCGCUAUGAGUUAGGACUAGAUUUGUCACGCUGGUAGGAUAAUUAGCUGAUUUUCUCAUCGGGUUUUGAGAAAGAGGGGGAAGCGAUUUAAGAGUGUAAAAUAUGCUUACUCUGCUUUUGAGUUCAGCAAUAAUACAUUCAUUUAGACAAAAGUGUCAGCCUUUACCAAAAACACCAGACAGAGAGGUCAUUUCAGCAGCAUGGUGGAGGUUUUUGAAUUGAAAUUAGAUAUAAGAUUUAUAUACGGUGAAAUAACGCUUGAUUAUUGCACAAUGAAGUACUACUGUACAGGCUAUUUUUUUAAACUUUCAAACCAGAACAAUGCAUUGGGAUGAAAGCAUGGACAAUCGAUUAGGAUCAUUUUUGUUGUCAGAGGAUCGAUAUAAGAAAUUGCUUGGCAUUGUUUCGAAAUACAAUUCACAGCUACAUUGAGCCGAUGAUGAAUAAAAAAGCGAAUCUAAUCGAUCGAAUUGUAAAUGUAAAGUAGUCUGAUGGUUUGGGGGAAAUGUUAUUUACGAAAUUAUUCAUUGAGAGUAACGCACGCUUCUGAUAUGUUUACUUCAAUUUUAUUAUGCUGCGUUUUGACAAUUUUUCAUUUCCACCGCCCCAGCUGGCUGAUAGUUGUCAUGAUGAAGAACCGUAAUCCCUUGUCUGUACGUCUAACAUAUCUGUGAGUACUGGGUGACUCAAAAAAUAUUUACCACUUUUGAUUAUGAGAUUUCAUUACGUGCAUUAUACAUGUAGUUAUAACGUAGUCUGAAUUUUUUCAUUUUUCAGCCAUUUUGUUUCCGAACCAGUUCAAUUUAGUGAUAAGUGGUCAAAAAGCAAACACUCGUACAGUAAAAACCGAUGAGUGAUUAUUUUGGUGCUUGGAUGGGGGGGGG